GACGAACGCUGGCGGCGUGCUUAACACAUGCAAGUCGAACGGUGAAGCGCCUUCCUUUUUGGUGGGUGUGGAUGAGUGGCGAACGGGUGAGUAACACGUGAGUAACCUGCCCCCUUCUUCUGGAUAACCGCAUGAAAGUGUGGCUAAUACGGGAUAUUCUGGGUCUGUCGCAUGAUGGGUCUGGGAAAGAUAUUGUUUCGGUGGGGGAUGGGCUCGCGGCCUAUCAGCUUGUUGGUGGGGUGAUGGCCUACCAAGGCGGUGACGGGUAGCCGGCCUGAGAGGGUGGACGGUCACACUGGGACUGAGACACGGCCCAGACUCCUACGGGAGGGAGCAGUGGGGAAUAUUGCACACUGGGCGCAAGCCUGAUGCAGCGACGCCGCGUGAGGGAUGGAGGCCUUCGGGUUGUGAACCUCUUUCGCCAGUGAAGCAGGCCUGCCUCGUUUGUGGGUGGGUUGACGGUAGCUGGAUAAGAAGCGCCGGCUAACUACGUG
rnacentral:rRNA from 1 species